CGAUCGAGUACUCACGUCCGUUCCCCUCUUGCUAAUGGAAUGCUGUCGUUUUCUUAUUUCUCUUGCAAUGAUUGAUGGUAGAGCCAAAUGCAGCGGUGAGGGCAAGGAUAGGAGGCAGCGGGUUCAAGAGGGCGCCUAGGGGAUCUCUUGCCACAUGACUGAUAGUCCACAUGGAACAUGUAGCUAUACAUUUGUUCCUUGGAGGUGCAAGGAUCAUCAAAUCUCCUUAUUAAUGUGCUUCCAUACCUGGCAGACAGGGCUAACCAUUUUUAAGUUAGUCGUUGCUUCACUCUGACAUUUUUUGUUUGGUUCCAUUUGUUUGUACAGUAGGUUCUUGUGGAGUUGGCCGAGCUCUAGGACAGGGUCAAGUUGCUCAAGUGCAGAUUGGAGACGACGGCAACCACAACGUUUCAUGCAUGGCUCUUGGCCAGUGAGCAUUGUUCUAUUUUGUGUGUCUUGGGCUCUGAGCAUAAACUUCGCAAAUCACUAUCUGAUUAGAAGCAGCAUGGCAUAGAUGGGUGCUAGGAGAUGAAGGUGAGAGAGAAUUGUAAGCACUUCAAUGAACCUGACUGUAAGCACAGAAGCAAAGCCAGCGCCCAGCCCUCACACGCCAUUGUUGAGCUGAAACCCGGAGGAAAUAAAGAAUCGCAUUGAACCUCAUUGUCCUAGGUUAGUUGUAUUUGUGGUUGGUGCCAUUAUUCUCCAGUGUAUAUACUUAUUUUCCUGCUAAAAUUUGACAUCAAUUGU